CUACGUGCCAGCAGCCGCGGUAAUACGGAAGGUCCAGGCGUUAUCCGGAUUUAUUGGGUUUAAAGGGAGCGUAGGCUGGAUAUUAAGUGUGUUGUGAAAUGUAGACGCUCAACGUCUGACUUGCAGCGCAUACUGGUUUCCUUGAGUACGCACAACGUUGGCGGAAUUCGUCGUGUAGCGGUGAAAUGCUUAGAUAUGACGAAGAACUCCGAUUGCGAAGGCAGCUGACGGGAGCGCAACUGACGCUUAAGCUCGAAGGUGCGGGUAUCAAACAGGAUUAGAUACCCUGGUAGUCCGCACAGUAAACGAUGGAUGCCCGCUGUUGGUACCUGGUAUCAGCGGCUAAGCGAAAGCAUUAAGCAUCCCACCUGGGGAGUACGCCGGCAACGGUGAAACUCAAAGGAAUUGACGGGGGCACGCACAAGCGGAGGAACAUGUGGUUUAAUUCGAUGAUACGCGAGGAACCUUACCCGGGCUUGAA
rnacentral:rRNA from 1 species